GAUGAACGCUGGCGGCGUGCCUAAUACAUGCAAGUCGAGCGAACGGACGAGAAGCUUGCUUCUCUGAUGUUAGCGGCGGACGGGUGAGUAACACGUGGAUAACCUACCUAUAAGACUGGGAUAACUUCGGGAAACCGGAGCUAAUACCGGAUGAUAUUUUGAACCGCAUGGUUCAAAAGUGAAGGACGGUCUUGCUGUCACUUAUAGAUGGAUCCGCGCUGCAUUAGCUAGUUGGUAAGGUAACGGCUUACCAAGGCAACGAUGUAUAGCCGACCUGAGAGGGUGAUCGGCCACACUGGACCUGAGACACGGUCCAGACUCCUACGGGAGGCAGCAGUAGGGAAUCUUCCGCAAUGGGCGAAAGCCUGACGGAGCAACGCCGCGUGAGUGAUGAAGGUCUUCGGAUCGUAAAACUCUGUUAUUAGGGAAGAACAUAUGUGUAAGUAACUGUGCACAUCUUGACGGUACCUAAUCAGAAAGCCACGGCUAACUACGUG
rnacentral:rRNA from 1 species